AUUGAACGCUGGCGGUAUGCCUAACACAUGCAAGUCGAACGGCAGCACAGUAAGGGCUUGCUCUUACGGGUGGAGAGUGGCGGACGGGUGAGGAAUACAUCGGAAUCUACUUUUUCGUGGGGGAUAACGUAGGGAAACUUACGCUAAUACCUCAUACGACCUACGGGUGAAAGCAGGGGAUCUUCUGACCUUGCGCGAUUGAAUGAGCCGAUGUCGGAUUAGCUAGUUGGCGGGGUAAAGGCCCACCAAGGCGACGAUCCGUAGCUGGUCUGAGAGGAUGAUCAGCCACACUGGAACUGAGACACGGUCCAGACUCCUACGGGAGGCAGCAGUGGGGAAUAUUGGACAAUGGGCGCAAGCCUGAUCCAGCAAUACCGCGUGGGUGAAGAAGGCCUUCGGGUUGUAAAGCCCUUUUGUUGGGAAAGAAAAGCAGCAGGUUAAUACCCCGCUGUGCUGACGGUACCCAAAGAAUAAGCACCGGCUAACUUCGUG
rnacentral:rRNA from 1 species